CUCACAGCUUGAAUGGAAAGAGAGUAGAUUCUAGAAUUUCCACUGAUAAUAUACAUAUGUCACCUGGCCCUCCAAGACACCGGGAAUCACCAGGGGCAUGAACGAAAUCUGACUAUUGAAUGUAUUGCGGACUCCACAUACGUUAAUAGCAUCACUAAUCAUAAAUAUUACACCCACACGCGCAUUGAUGCAUGAAUUUCUCAUUAAUACAAAAAUAGAUUGCGUUACAGAAAAUUAAAUAUACAAUGAGCUUGAUACAUUACAUAGCCUAGUGCAGGAACAUCAACUCUCACAACGUACAGCAAUCAUAAAGAAUAACUUUUGCAGUUCUACGCAAACAUGUCUGACUAAUCGUGUAAAUUAUCAAGAGCACGCAUCUUCUUGACCUGAACUCUCCUUUGCUAUGCUCGCUCAGUUCCGGCCUCCAAAACCUUGUGGACCGGGCCUGGAUGCCGAGCCAACAAACUGCCUCCUUGAAUCAGACCGCCGUUCUGCCUUGCAGCGCCAGGAUGAGCCUGACAAAGGAAGAAUCCCAAGCCGUAAAAAAUAUGGAGGGCAGAUACAUGUUAUACAGUUCAAUAACAUGGCGUAUAAAUUACAGAGAGCGCACAGAAGUGUAGGAUUUAUCUUAUGGGAUAAAUAAAUGUCAAAGGAUAUUCCACCCACAUGAGGAUAUUAACCUCCUAAUUAUCUAUGUGAUAAUUAGAUGAAAAAUCAAGAGAUAUUCAUAUUAGAAUAUACUUGAGAUUUUUCAUGUGCUUUUCAGUUUUUGUACACUCUUCUCAACCACUAUAUAAGGAGGCUUUGGGGAAGAGAGAAAAUACAAGAAACACAAGUUUUUCCCCAGUUCAAAUAUUCUAGUUAGGUCUUUAGAGCUAUCACCAUCAACUUUAGGUCUUGGGAGGUGAAAACCAAGGGGCAACUUGACACCAUAGCCAACCCGACGACCAACGAGGUUCUAGAUGUGCACGGAAGGUCAGAGCAGUUGUUCGUGUUUGUAGGAGUGUGUUGAGAUUCAAGUUUCCGCAUAAAAGACAGGCGUUCUUUUGUGAAAAAGGAACGGUUUCGAAAAUGAACCAUUUCAAUAUUCAGCAGCAGAGCGCCUCUUGGACUGUGAUGACACCAGAGGAUCAGCCUUGAUGUCUGACACCAAGAAGCAUAUGGUUUGCUCCAAGCCCAGGUCAUGAGCCGGGAUUUCCUCUGACAAGUGACAACCCGAUUAGGCCCUUGAGAUGGCAGAUGACAUACUUUUACUCCAAUUCAUCAACUUGAGCUAUGGGACUCAAAAGAUGGGGCAAGGCAAAUGAGAAAACUGAAUCUACCGUGAUUUUCUUCAAUCAGGUGAAGGAACUUUGUGGGUUUGAUUUUGGGUUCAGCUGAUGAUGAUUCAAGUGAUUUGAGAUUAUUAAACUCUUGGAAACAAAGGGUUCAAAGACUUUUCAAGGUUUGGGUCCAACAUUUGUACAAAAUUGUGUAAAAGAUAAGUUAUGCAAAGAGAAAUUUUAUUUGUACCCGGUUUUUAUUCUUUCUAAUCCCAACCUUAAUAUUUUGUUCAAGGCUCUAAAAGACGCUAGGCGCUAGUCGGGCAGCCAGUUGGGGUCUAGCACCUAGGUGGCUAGGCAGGGCUUAG